AGAGUUUGAUCCUGGCUCAGGACGAACGCUGGCGGCGUGCUUAACACAUGCAAGUCGAACGGUGAAGGUGGGAGCUUGCUCCUACCGGAUCAGUGGCGAACGGGUGAGUAACACGUGAGUAACCUGCCCCAGACUCUGGAAUAACCCCGGGAAACCGGAGCUAAUACCGGAUACGAGACGAAGCUGCAUGGCUAUCGUCUGGAAAGUUUUUCGGUCUGGGAUGGACUCGCGGCCUAUCAGCUUGUUGGUGAGGUAACGGCUCACCAAGGCGACGACGGGUAGCCGGCCUGAGAGGGCGACCGGCCACACUGGGACUGAGACACGGCCCAGACUCCUACGGGAGGCAGCAGUGGGGAAUAUUGCACAAUGGGCGAAAGCCUGAUGCAGCGACGCCGCGUGAGGGAUGACGGCCUUCGGGUUGUAAACCUCUUUCAGCAGGGAAGAAGCGAAAGUGACGGUACCUGCAGAAGGAGCACCGGCUAACUACGUGCCAGCAGCCGCGGUAAUAC
rnacentral:rRNA from 1 species